rnacentral:tRNA from 1 species
GUCAACAUAGUUUUAACAAAAACUUUAGGAUGUGGAUCUAAAAAUAGAAGCUAAAAUCUUCUUGUUGAC